CUCUGAACUAGGCCGUGAUCACAGUACACAAUGUUGAAGUCGCUGUGCAAACAGGAGCAGCUUGUCACGUGCCAGAUGCCACUUCAGUACUUAUAAAUUCAAUACUCCACCCUGGAGACGAGCCUCAAACAUGGGCUUCUUCAUUCCUCUUCAUGUACUUCGUGUCCCAUAGGAGAACAUGCUUGUCAGAGUUGUGACACACACAAAAAUAAAUAAACUGGUUAGAGUAACUGGCAUAACAGACACAGUGCAUGCAGACUUGCGUGCCACAUACAUACAGCAGACAGACAAAGAUUGUGGGAGACACACUGGAUUAAAUAUAAGAAUUGGGAGUACCAUACAUACAGAAUGGACAAAGAGACGGAGUUUACUGAAUUCGGUGACCGACGGAUUUGGUUGCAGAUGUGGGGCAGUCCCUCUGGCUGGGGUGCAGUUUCUUAUCCUUCUCUGGUGAGUGACU